rnacentral:rRNA from 1 species
GGGGAUAACACUUGGAAACAGGUGCUAAUACCGUAUAACACUAUUUUCCGCAUGGAAGAAAGUUGAAAGGCGCUUUUGCGUCACUGAUGGAUGGACCCGCGGUGCAUUAGCUAGUUGGUGAGGUAACGGCUCACCAAGGCCACGAUGCAUAGCCGACCUGAGAGGGUGAUCGGCCACACUGGGACUGAGACACGGCCCAGACUCCUACGGGAGGCAGCAGUAGGGAAUCUUCGGCAAUGGACGAAAGUCUGACCGAGCAACGCCGCGUGAGUGAAGAAGGUUUUCGGAUCGUAAAACUCUGUUGUUAGAGAAGAACAAGGAUGAGAGUAAAAUGUUCAUCCCUUGACGGUAUCUAACCAGAAAGCCACGGCUAACUACGUGCCAGCAGCCGCGGUAAUACGUAGGUGGCAAGCGUUGUCCGGAUUUAUUGGGCGUAAAGCGAGCGCAGGCGGUUUCUUAAGUCUGAUGUGAAAGCCCCCGGCUCAACCGGGGAGGGUCAUUGGAAACUGGGAGACUUGAGUGCAGAAGAGGAGAGUGGAAUUCCAUGUGUAGCGGUGAAAUGCGUAGAUAUAUGGAGGAACACCAGUGGCGAAGGCGGCUCUCUGGUCUGUAACUGACGCUGAGGCUCGAAAGCGUGGGGAGCGAACAGGAUUAGAUACCCUGGUAGUCCACGCCGUAAACGAUGAGUGAUAAGUGUUGGAGGGUUUCCGCCCUUCAGUGCUGCAG